rnacentral:rRNA from 1 species
AACGAACGCUGGCGGCAGGCUUAACACAUGCAAGUCGAGCGCCCCGCAAGGGGAGCGGCAGACGGGUGAGUAACGCGUGGGAAUCUACCCAUCUCUACGGAAUAACGCAUGGAAACGUGUGCUAAUACCGUAUACGUCCUUCGGGAGAAAGAUUUAUCGGAGAGGGAUGAGCCCGCGUUGGAUUAGCUAGUUGGUGGGGUAAAGGCCUACCAAGGCGACGAUCCAUGGCUGGUCUGAGGGGAUGAUCAGCCACACUGGGACUGAGACACGGCCCAGACUCCUACGGGAGGCAGCAGUGGGGAAUAUUGGACAAUGGGCGCAAGCCUGAUCCAGCCAUGCCGCGUGAGUGAUGAAGGCCCUAGGGUUGAAAAGCUCUUUCACCGGUGAAGAUAAUGACGGUAACCGGAGAGGAAGCCCCGGCUAACUUCGUGCCAGCCGCCGCCGUAAUAC